rnacentral:tRNA from 1 species
AAAAUUAUAGUUUAAUUAUAAAAAAUAUUUAAUUUGCAUUUAAAAGAUAUAGCUAUUGAUUUUA